rfam:Stegodyphus mimosarum contig7772, whole genome shotgun sequence.
GCCUUCGUGGUGUAGUGGUCAGCACUCUGGGUGCGUAUGCCAGUGGUCCGUGGUUCGAGUCCCGGAGAAGGCU